UCCUGCCCUUUGACCCACCUGCUCCUUUCACACGUGCAGUAAAAUUCCAGAACAUGACCUGAGUGGGCAUCUGAGACCAGGGAAUCUAGGAGAGCGUUGCAGUGAAUGAACUUUGGACCAAACUUAUGACGACUCAGGGAGAGACAAAGAAUACAGGAUGAACCUUGCUUCAGACAAACCCAAUUGAGAAGGCAGAUGGUUUCCAUGAGAGUGUCAGAAGGACGACCGGAAACUCUGUGGGGCCAGGGAGAAAGAAGUUCUCGGUGGAAGGGAUGGAAAGAAGCAAAAGGAGGUGUGAAGUAGUCUAGCCUAGUAAGUAAUUUGAAAUCCCGUAAUUCCAGAUAGAAACUGGGUGAGCCUGGAUCUAACAUGGGUGCCACACACCAAGCCAUUGAAAUUCUCCCUUCAGGUAUCUGUUACUUCCAGAACGAAGAAGAGUUAUUGCCCAACCCCAAGAAACCACAGCAGAAAAGAUUCCUUUUCCACCUGAUGAGAAAAACCUACAACAGCCAAUCAAGUUGAAGCCCCAAAGGAACACUGGAGGGACCCUCUCCUGAGAAUCAGCAUCUCAACCAUCACCUCCUCCCCACCGUUUUUACUCCAAAAGACUGAUCUCAUGAGAGAAAUCGCAGUCAUCGGCCUCCUCCCA
rnacentral:lncRNA from 1 species